UCAAGCGAUCCUGCGCCGAAAAUGUAACGGGGCUAAAGCCAUUUACCGAAAUUGUGGGCUCGUAAGAGCGGUAGCGGAGCGUUCCGUAAGCCUGCGAAGGUGCACUGCGAGGUGUGCUGGAGGUAUCGGAAGUGAGAAUGUUGACAUGAGUAGCGACAAAGCGGGUGAGAGACCCGCUCGCCGAAAAUCCAAGGGUUCCUGCGUAAAGCUAAUCUGCGCAGGGUUAGCCGGCCCCUAAGGCGAGGCCGAAAGGCGUAGCCGAUGGGAACCACGU
rnacentral:rRNA from 1 species